GUAUUAGCAAGCUUUUAAAUCAGCAUGAAAUGCCAAACUUCACUUCCAUCACGAACACAGAUUCCAGCAUUAACGAGGAAAUAAAUGCCAAAGCAAAAUGAAAUGCUAUAGUGCAAAGGAAUGGGAGGAAGAGCUACAGCACCUACGUUUGGUUUUGUGCUUCACAAACCUGAGGGUUUUCUUCUUUUAUGGUAUGUUUUACGUGUUCCUUGUCUCGCUGACUAAGCCCUUCCAGUGAGGAUAUGGAAUUUCCUUCCUGCACAGAAAAAAACUUCCUGUCUCUUGGCAUCUUUUGGAGCAAACAUGCAGGCCCAUUUCUCAAUUGCUCAGCGCAGCUCUUACAGGACCACUUCCUUACUCAGAUAAUGGCCUCAGCCUGCUGGCUAAAUCAUAGCAAGAAGUUUAUGAAUUAUGUUGAGGAUAGAAAUGAGCUUUUGCUAUAAGGAUAGACUUCUGUGUGAUACUUUCUUCAGUGGAUGAGUGGGAUUAUCCUCUACUCCGCUCUCCAGUCACUGAGGAGUCAGCCGUGUGCACCUAAGCCGUUGGUUAUAUUCCCUUGUUUCUUCACAGCUUCUUUUAGGACCUGUGUUCCACUGGACUGCCCCCGAGAAGAAAUAUACAUCUUGGCACAUCAGUUCCAGAAGCUGUAAAAGUGUAAUGAAGUGAAAACAGUACUUGAGUAAAAACACAAAUUCCAGCCUUCUUUCCUCUCCAUUUCCACACCAGACCUAAAUUCCUUGCAAAGGACACACAGAUCUUAUCCUCUCGGGAAAAGAGCCCUGAAGACUGAAACGUUACACACCUUCCCCACUUGUCUGUACCAUCUUCCUUUCACUGCAUCAUCAGUGUCCUGCUGCCCUCCUCACCACUCCCUCCACAAACAUCAGUGUCUCCUUCUAUGAAGAAGCAAGUCUCCCUGCACACGACCUCUGAACAAGAAGAUGCUGCAAUCACAAGUUCCUAAGCCUGUAUUUUUAUAUAUAACCUGCCCGUGCUAGUUUUGACAGGCAAAAGAAACUAAACUGAAAACAAUACUGAAAACUUGGCCACACUCAAUGUGUAUAAUGUAGUGACUUGCAACAACUCUGUGUUACUCAAAUCUUAUUCCAGAAUAGUUACAGAAUGCAAAUGCCCCAGAGAAGUUCCCAGACUUUCCUCCCUCCUACAAAAUUAUGGAAAAUUUCUUGUAACAUAGGAAGGCAAGUGUACAGAAGACAAGUAUGAAAUCUGAAUAUAAACAAUGUAGGAUCUCCUGAGUAUUUUCUGAGUAGUUUCUGAACUUCCUAACAAGCUGUUAAUAAUGUAAAGAAUUUCAAACGAUGAACAAAGUGCAUGUUGCUUGCAAAAAGAAAAAGUGAUUUAUUAUUUAUAAGAAGAUCUAGCAAAUAAGUACUAGAUGCCAACUCCCUGCUAGCUCAGGCCAUACUGACAGGUUGCUGAGAGUACAUAUCAGUUUUAUCCCCCCGUUUGAUUUGGUUUGAUUUCAUUCAUCUUGGUUUGAUUUCAUUCAUAAUUGACAAAUUCAUUCAUAAUUGACAAAUCCAUUUGCUUUUUCUAUUUGCAAUAAAACACCGUGCAAACAAAAUUUGGGAAUACAUACAUACAGAAAAUCUUGUAUCAACAUGGACUGGCUGCCAGAUUUGGAACUGAU
ensembl:lncRNA